AUUGAACGCUGGCGGCAUGCCUUACACAUGCAAGUCGAACGGCAGCACGGGAGCAAUCCUGGUGGCGAGUGGCGAACGGGUGAGUAAUAUAUCGGAACGUGCCCAGUCGUGGGGAUAACGUAGCGAAAGCUACGCUAAUACCGCAUACGAUCUACGGAUGAAAGCGGGGGAUCGCAAGACCUCGCGCGAUUGGAGCGGCCGAUAUCAGAUUAGGUAGUUGGUGAGGUAAAGGCUCACCAAGCCGACGAUCUGUAGCUGGUCUGAGAGGACGACCAGCCACACUGGGACUGAGACACGGCCCAGACUCCUACGGGAGGCAGCAGUGGGGAAUUUUGGACAAUGGGCGCAAGCCUGAUCCAGCAAUGCCGCGUGCAGGAUGAAGGCCUCGGUUGUAACGU
rnacentral:rRNA from 1 species